CAGUCGUACGCUUCUUUUUCCACCGGAGCUUGCUCCACCGGAAAAAGAGGAGUGGCGAACGGGUGAGUAACACGUGGGUAACCUGCCCAUCAGAAGGGGAUAACACUUGGAAACAGGUGCUAAUACCGUAUAACAAUCGAAACCGCAUGGUUUUGAUUUGAAAGGCGCUUUCGGGUGUCGCUGAUGGAUGGACCCGCGGUGCAUUAGCUAGUUGGUGAGGUAACGGCUCACCAAGGCCACGAUGCAUAGCCGACCUGAGAGGGUGAUCGGCCACAUUGGGACUGAGACACGGCCCAAACUCCUACGGGAGGCAGCAGUAGGGAAUCUUCGGCAAUGGACGAAAGUCUGACCGAGCAACGCCGCGUGAGUGAAGAAGGUUUUCGGAUCGUAAAACUCUGUUGUUAGAGAAGAAUAAGGAUGAGAGUAACUGUUCAUCCCUUGACGGUAUCUAACCAGAAAGCCACGGCUAACUACGUGCCAGCAGCCGCGGUAAUACGUAGGUGGCAAGCGUUGUCCGGAUUUAUUGGGCGUAAAGCGAGCGCAGGCGGUUUCUUAAGUCUGAUGUGAAAGCCCCCGGCUCAACCGGGGAGGGUCAUUGGAAACUGGGAGACUUGAGUGCAGAAGAGGAGAGUGGAAUUCCAUGUGUAGCGGUGAAAUGCGUAGAUAUAUGGAGGAACACCAGUGGCGAAGGCGGCUCUCUGGUCUGUAACUGACGCU
rnacentral:rRNA from 1 species